rnacentral:ncRNA from 1 species
UUCUGUUUAAUUAUGGCAGUAGGAAGCAUUAUUUUAACCAAUCGCAUAAGAACUGAUUAGUUUGUUUUAUUUUUAGAAUUUAUUUACUUAUUUAGCGAUUAAUUUUUUAUUUGAGCGUAAGCUUUUUAAGGGUUAUUUUAAUGAGAGGGGAUAGGACACAGUGCCAGCAUCCGCGGUUACUCUGUUUUCUCUGCUUUCAUCUGAUUUUUAUUAGAGUUUUUAUGUUUAAGAUUAGGUGAAAUUUUCUUAAGUUUUAUAUAAAACUCUUUUAAUUAAGAAGUAGCUUUUUAAUGAAAGGGAUUAGAAACCCCAUUAAUCAGUUAUGUAUCAAUAUUUAGUUUUAUAACUAAAAUAAUUUGGCAGUGAGUUACUCCUUUUAGGGGAAGGUGUAUAGUAAAGGAUGAUCCGCCUAUUAAUUAACUUUAUCUAUGUUGGUGUAUAUCUGGUUUAAUAUAAUUGUUUAAUUACUUGAAUUUGUGUAUUAAUAAUUAAGCCAAGUCUAUGUGCUGCAUGUUAAAGUUUUUAUGCGUUACUUUUAUAAAUACUUUUUUGUAAUAAACAGUUAAUAAGGACUUAACAGUAAUAUUAAAUAAAUUUGUUAAUGUGAAAUUGGUUUAGCUCAGGUACACACCGCCCGUCACCCUCGAUAGUUGUUGAGGUAAGUCGUAACAAGGUAGCCUUAGAUGAAUCUAAGGCUAAUUGUUCAUAGAAUUAUA